rnacentral:rRNA from 1 species
GAUGAACGCUGGCGCCGUGCUUAACACAUGCAAGUCGAGCGAUGAAGUUUCCUUCGGGAAACGGAUUAGCGGCGGACGGGUGAGUAACACGUGGGUAACCUGCCUCAUAGAGUGGAAUAGCCUUCCGAAAGGAAGAUUAAUACCGCAUAAUGUUGAAAGAUGGCAUCAUCAUUCAACCAAAGGAGCAAUCCGCUAUGAGAUGGACCCGCGGCGCAUUAGCUAGUUGGUGGGGUAACGGCCUACCAAGGCGACGAUGCGUAGCCGACCUGAGAGGGUGAUCGGCCACAUUGGGACUGAGACACGGCCCAGACUCCUACGGGAGGCAGCAGUGGGGAAUAUUGCACAAUGGGGGAAACCCUGAUGCAGCAACGCCGCGUGAGUGAUGAAGGUUUUCGGAUCGUAAAGCUCUGUCUUUGGGGAAGAUAAUGACGGUACCCAAGGAGGAAGCCACGGCUAACUACGUGGCAGCAGCCGCGGUAAUACGUAGGUGGCGAGCGUUAUCCGGAUUUACUGGGCGUAAAGGGAGCGUAGGCGGAUGAUUAAGUGGGAUGUGAAAUACCCGGGCUCAACUUGGGUGCUGCAUUCCAAACUGGUUAUCUAGAGUGCAGGAGAGGAGAGUGGAAUUCCUAGUGUAGCGGUGAAAUGCGUAGAGAUUAGGAAGAACACCAGUGGCGAAGGCGACUCUCUGGACUGUAACUGACGCUGAGGCUCGAAAGCGUGGGGAGCAAACAGG